GGAUUUAGAGUUUAUAUUUGAGUUUAUGGUUUAGUAAUUAGUGAUUAGGGUUUAGUAUUUAGAGUAAUAGGGGUGAGUUUGAGGCCAGUAUUAGAUUUUGAGAUUUGGGUUUAGAGUUUAGGGUUUAUGGUUUAUAUUUGGGUUUAGGGUUUAUACUUGGGUUUAGGGUUUAGUGAUUAGGAUUUAGGGUUUAGUAUUUAGAAGGGCGGGGUUGGGAUUUGGGUUUAGUGAACAUGUAUCGUUUCAUCUGACGAUUAAUAAAGAGUGUUCUAUUUUGUUCACCAAUGUGUACUAUACUAUUUAUUUUAUUCCAUUCUGUUUGGGUUUAGGGGCUAUACUUGGGUUUAGGGUUUAGUGAUUAGAGUUUAAAGUUUAGUAUUUGGAAGGUGUGUGGUUAAGGUUUGGGUUUAGUGAUAGCAGUUUAGGGUUUAAUAUUCAAAAUAUGCCUUCAAGUGUCCAAUAUUGGAAA
rnacentral:lncRNA from 1 species